GUUCCUGACUGCUGCUGCAGCUCCUUUACUGUGUGCUCUCUCUCUCUCUCCCCCACCCCCCUUCUCCAAGCAGCUCGAAGCCUUGGGUCCGGUGCCCCCAAAAAUGGCGAAAUCGCCGGCCGAUCGGAGCCCAAUCUGAGCCCGCACGCUCCGCAGUAGCCCGAUCUCCCGAAUCCCCAAAAGCGCCCCGGUUGGAAAUGGCCGCCACUGCCCCGAUCGGGCUCGCGGCGCGCGAUUCGGUGGCGCUUUGGCCCGGGGGACCCGAGGGCCGCAGGUUUUCUGAUUGACUCUGACUGAGCCGUGGUUGCUCUCGCUCUUCGGUGGGGUUCCGUGUGUCCUGCGGAGAGAGCAGCGUCCGCGACGGGUAGUCGGCGGAUUGGAGGAAUGCUCAGCGAGAGCCCUUUGGCGAUGCGUCAGGAGAUGGGCGGCGUGAGAGAGGAGGAAGAGCCGGAGGACGAGCUUGACGCGCUGCUCCGUGCCGGUGGCGGCGGAGCGCGUCGGCGAGGGGAGGAGGCUGGUGAGAAGGAGCGGCUCAGCAUAUUCCGAAGCGGGUCGGCGCCACCGACCAUAGAGGGUUCGCUGAACGCCAUCGGCGGCCUGCUCCGCGGCGGUGGUGAGACGCCCCGGGCUGCUGCCGCCGUUCCUGAUACUGAGGAGUUGAACGGACAUGGCGGACUCCUGUCGGAGGAGGAGCUCCGGGCUGACCCAGCCUACCUGUCGUACUACUACUCGCACGCCAAUCUUAACCCGAGGUUGCCACCGCCGGUCCUGACAAAGGAGGACUGGCGGUCAACACAGCGGCUGAAGGCAGGGGUAGGAGUGGUGGGAGGGAUUGGGGACAGGAGAAAGGCAGUGCAGGAGGAGGCUGGACAGGGGAUGGCCGCCGGGAUGUCGCUGUUCCCGCAGAAUCCUGGUUUCGAUCGAGAGGAGGAUGGAAGCAAGGGUGUGGGCGGUGCUGCAGAGUGGGUGGAUAGAGGAGGUGAUGGGCUCAUUGGGUUAUCACUAGGACGGCAACGCAGCUUUGCUGAUAUGUUUCAGGAUAACCUUGGCCGCAGAACACCUACUUCAGAACAUUCCUCUCGUGCAGCCAGUCGCAAUUCAUUUCUUGACAACCAGGAAUCAGUUGAUCCUUCUGAGAACCAAUACUCUUUACAUAAUGAUACUAUGGAUGCACAGCGCUCUGUUGGUAAUGCACAAAGUGUCGGCGGUCUUUCCAGUAUUAAUGCAUCUGCAUCUCAAACUUUUGCUUCUGUUCUGGGUUCAUCAGCUUCAAGGAAUGCGACACCAGAUUCCCAUUAUAUCCCUAGGGUUCCUAGCCCUGGCCUUCCACCUGUUGGCGCUAGGAUUAGUUCUAAUGAGAAGAGACUGAAUUGCUCAUCGUCAUCAUUCAACACAGUAUCAUCAAAAGCACUUGAGCCUGAUGAUAUAUUAACUGCACUAUCUAGCAUGAACUUGUCAAAAGGUGGCACUUUGAACGACAACAGCAACAUUAGUCAAUCAAAGUUUCAGAGAGAGAUCAGUGACUACCAUAAUUUUGCUCUUGGCCCGCAAGCCGCUCAAGUCACCAGCAGGCAGUAUUCUGCGAUGUUGGAAGCAGAUGCUGAAUAUGCAGGUAUACCAUCAAAUUCUUCAUUUGCUGAUAUUAAGAAUAGUGCACCUAAUCCAGCAGACUUCAGAGGUUCCACGAACACACGGUUUGAUGGACACGGGGAGAUAAAAAGAUCUUCUACUCUUUCUGCUCGUUCAUAUCAGAAGUCGCCACCAUCUUCUAAUGCAAGCCCAGGUGGUUCUCCUGCUCAACAUCAGAAUCUUGAUGGAACAAAUUCAGCAUUUCUUAACUAUGGGCUCAGUGGAUAUCCACUCAAUCCGGGUUUCAACUCUAUGAUGAUGAAUAACAUGGGUUCAGGUAGCAUGCCUCCUCUGUUUGAAAGUGGUGCAGCAGCAUCUGCUAUAGCUUCACUCGGGUCAGAUUCAAGAAACCUUGGUAGCAAUAUUUCAUCACCACCUGCCUUAAGUCUAUCUGAUCUGCAUAACCUUGGUAGAUCCAAUAAUCAAACAGCCACUGGUCUUCAGUCUCCUCUCUCUGAUCCUUUUUAUGUUCAGUAUCUGAAGACAGCUCAAUAUACAGCGCAGGAAGCAGCCAACUACAGUGAUCCUUACUUGGAAAGAGGUUUCGUGGGUAGUUCGUAUGCUGAUUUAACACCAGUUCAGAAAGCUUAUGUUGAAGCUUUGCUUCAGCAGAAGCAAUAUGGAAUGCCACUUGGUAAAUCAGUAGCCUCAAAUCAUGGUUAUUAUAGCAAUCUGGGUUACGGCAUGGGUCUGGCAUACCCUGGAAGCCCUUUGGGAAGUCCUGUUGCUUCCCCAUCAGGUCCUGGCAGUCCAAUUAGGCUCGGUGAGCGGAAUCUGAGGUUUCCUUCUAACACGAGAAGCUUGACUGGUUGGAAUGUUGAUCCAAGUGGCUAUAUGAAUGGGAACUUUCCAUCUUCACUUUUGGAUGAAUUCAAAAGCAAUAAGGCCAGAAGCUUUGACCUUGCUGAGAUUGCUGGGAAUGUGGUGGAGUUCAGCGCUGACCAAUAUGGAAGUCGUUUCAUACAGCAAAAACUUGAAACUGCGACAGUUGAGGAAAAAAACAUGGUUUUUGAGGAGAUCAUGCCUCACGCUCUCUCAUUGAUGACUGAUGUAUUUGGGAAUUAUGUAGUGCAGAAGUUUUUUGAGCAUGGGAGCUCCACACAACGCAGGGAGUUGGCUAAUAAACUAUUUGGACAUGUACUAACUCUUAGCAUUCAGAUGUAUGGUUGUCGAGUUAUCCAAAAGGCAAUAGAGGUUGUUGAUCUGGACCAGAAGACAAAAAUGGUUACUGAGCUUGAUGGUCAUAUCAUGCGAUGUGUGCGUGAUCAAAAUGGAAACCAUGUUAUCCAGAAAUGUAUUGAGUGUAUACCAGAAGAUUCCAUUCAGUUUAUUAUCUCGACAUUCUAUGGUGAAGUCGUUACACUGUCCACUCACCCCUAUGGCUGCAGAGUCAUACAGAGAGUACUGGAGCAUUGCACUGAUACAAACACACAGCAAAUUGUCAUGGAUGAGAUAUUGCAAUCUGUAUGCAUGCUGGCACAAGACCAGUAUGGAAAUUAUGUUAUCCAGCAUGGGAAGCCUCAUGAACGGUCUUUUAUUAUUGAAAAGCUAGCUGGACAGAUCAUCCAGAUGAGCCAACAGAAAUUUGCCUCAAAUGUUGUCGAGAAGUGUCUAACAUUUGGAGGACCUUCAGAGCGGGAAGUUAUCAUAAAUGAAAUGCUUGGAACUACUGACGAGAAUGAGCCUCUCCAGGCCAUGAUGAAGGAUCAGUUUGGUAACUAUGUUGUACAGAAAGUACUAGAGACUUGUGAUGAUCAGCAGAGAGAGCUGAUUCUUUCACGAAUAAAGGUUCAUUUAAAUGCACUGAAGAAAUAUACAUAUGGGAAGCACAUUGUUGCUCGAGUGGAAAAACUUGUUGCUGCUGGUGAGAGGAGGAUUGGACUUCAGUCGUCGCAGUAUCCUUCCUAAUGGCAUAGGAAUGACCAUGUACAGCUAACCAUGGCCACCGAGAUCUACCUUCUGCCGCCUGCUUUUGGGCUGCUUCAAGCCAAGUUAGAAAUAAACAUGUUGUACUGAGACUUUGUACAUUUUGUAGUUUGAGCUUAUAGUCGUGUCAGGGUUUGGCUCAGCGAGUUUAUCUACCUGAUGCCACCGCGGAGAAGAUAGGCGUCAUGUAUAAGUUUUCGUCUAGGUGUAAAAAGGGGAGGAGAGUCGAUAUUUUGCGAGUGUACAAAUCUGCAAUCCUGAGAGAGAAAGCUAUCAGAGCUGUCUAGAACAAAUUUGAUCGCCAUCCCGUGUGUAUAACUGAGUAUGAAGUUAGCUGCGUUCAUUUCCUGUAAUCCUCUAUGAUCCUGUCUGGCCUAUAAGGGUCUGUUUUUUUUCAUGAAAAUGCAGAAACAUGGUAGGAAUAGAAGUGCAAAAUAACCCUAAAAAAAGAAGUGCAAAAUAUGAUUGAAAAAAGAAUAUUCGUUUUG
rnacentral:rRNA from 1 species